CAGGGAUUGCCUCAGUAACGGCGAGUGAAGCGGCAACAGCUCAAAUUUGAAAGCUGGCUUUGGCCCGCGUUGUAAUUUGCAGAGGAUGCUUCGGGUGCGGCCCCGGUCUAAGUUCUUUGGAACAGGACGUCAUGGAGGGUGAGAAUCCCGUAUAUGGCUGGUGGCCUGUGCCUAUGUGAAGCUCCUUCGACGAGUCGAGUUGUUUGGGAAUGCAGCUCUAAAUGGGAGGUGUAUUUCUUCUAAAGCUAAAUAUUGGCCAGAGACCGAUAGCGCACAAGUAGAGUGAUCGAAAGAUGAAAAGCACUUUGGAAAGAGAGUUAAAUAGUACGUGAAAUUGUUGAAAGGGAAGCGCUUGCAAUCAGACUUGCGCGGCGUUGAUCAACCUGGGUUCUCCCGGGUGCACUCGGCGCCGCUCAGGCCAGCAUCAGUUUCGGCGGUGGGAUAAAGGCCCAGGGAACGUGAGUCGCUUCGGUGACUGUUAUAGCCCUGGGUGCCAUGCCGCCUGUCGGGACUGAGGACCGCGCUUCGGCUAGGAUGCUGGCGUAAUGGUUGUAAGCGACCCGUCUUGAAACACGGACCAAGGAGUCAACCACUUGUGCGAGUGUUUGGGUGUUAAACCCAUACGCGUAAUGAAAGUGAACGGAGGUGAGAGCCCUCGGGUGCAUCAUCGACCGAUCCUGAUGUCUUCGGAUGGAUUUGAGUAAGAGCAUAAUCGGUUGGACCCGAAAGAUGGUGAACUAUACUUGAAUAGGGUGAAGCCAGGGGAAACCCUGGUGGAGGCUCGCAGCGGUUCUGACGUGAACUCUGAUCGGUUCAGCGCGUCAAACAGUGGAUUGUACAUAAGUCUGCUAGUGGGGGGCCUGUAACUAGGCUGUCCUGCAACACUGUCAACAUGCGGGGACUCUCUAUGAAUAAACAUCAUGGGGUAACCCGCAGCCCACCCUCCCCUGUUUGGUAAAGGUUGGUUCAGAGACUAGAUGACAGUGGGUUUUCCUGCCAAUGCGGGAAGAUUUGAGAUAUAGCCCGUUUCUGCGCCAAAGCGUGGGAGAAGCACGGCAAAUCGAUCGUCAAAUUUGAGUAUAGGGGCGAAAGACUAAUCGAACCAUUGGAAAAGAGAACCUAGUUUCUAGGUGGUUGAGAGACGGCCUGGCCGUCUAGUUUCCUUGCGGAAGCUAUACUGCAAACGUGCGGGGACCCUCUGAUGGCCUACGCUACCGCCGCGACCGCUGAAAGGUGGGCGUGGCACCGGUUCGCACCGGGUACGGUAACAAUGCGUUGGGAUUGAGCGAUCCGCAGCCCGUUCCCUAAGGCCUCUCCGGGGGCUACGGGGACGGUUCAUCGACUAGAUGGCAGUGGGUGCGGCCUCGGGGCCGCGCCUAAGGUAUAGUCAGACCGUGGCAGCGAUACCGUGGCAGCUCG
rnacentral:rRNA from 1 species